CGACUGUUCCUUAAGCUUCGACUGACUUAAACAUCGAAGAUCGAACAUAUUCAAUGAAAGAGCUUUCUUUACUAGUUCAUUGGCCAUGAAGGAUAGCCCAUAUCCACCGACACGAUCGAUCGAUCAACUUUCCGAUGCAAUGCUACUGGGGUUUAGCAGCAACACCGCCAUUACUCAAAAAAUUGUAAAGGAUGAAAGUCUCCUU
rnacentral:lncRNA from 1 species